rnacentral:rRNA from 1 species
ACGCUCGACACCUACGGGGGCAGCAGUGGGGAAUAUUGCACAAUGGGGGAAACCCUGAUGCAGCGACGCCGCGUGAGCGAAGAAGUAUUUCGGUAUGUAAAGCUCUAUCAGCAGGGAAGAAAAUGACGGUACCUGACUAAGAAGCCCCGGCUAACUACGUGCCGGCAGCCGCGGUAAUCUGAGCGGGCUGGCAAGGC